UACUUCUCGGCAGAGCUGCUCUCAAUGAAUUCUUCUCCCAGUCUGUACACACAUCAGGGAUUGCCCCAGCCCAGGUACAGCACCUUGUACUCAGCCUUAUUGAACACCAUUCUCAAGAUGGAAACUUAUCUGCUCUGUGGGAUCCAGUGCCCUCCUGACAUCCCUGUUUGGGGAAGCAAAGCUGGAAAAUGGCCAGUGUGAGAGGAAGACAUCUUUUUGUAGCAAAGACCAUUGUCACCAAUUUAAGCAACAGGCAUCCACCCUGGCCUCAGUCUUAGUAAUAGCCAUGAAGACCAUGAAUCCCAAGCAACAAAGAUGCUUUUGUGAAGAAUGAAUCACAGGAUCUUGGUUACCCAUGGUUUCCCAUGUCAGGAGGGUUCUGACAUUCAAGCUCUUUAAUAUUUAUCUGUUCUUUGACAUUCCCUACCAAUAAUCCUCCCACGGGAUUCCAAACAACCCAGAUGAAGAGCCACAAUUCAGGACAUUAGUGUACCCAUUCCUUGGAUUGGGAAGUGAGCCCACCAUCAGUGGUCCUGCUGUCACAUUCUGGGCAGCAAAAAAAAUGCAACCUUAGCCCCACAGCCAGCUGCAAAGAAUGCAGAAGAAUUCUUUUUGCAGGGACAUUUGAGAUGUCCUUGAAGAGGCUGCACGUCCUGAAGAACAGGUUCCUUUAUGCCUGGAGGGCUGACUGCUGGGACAUGAGACUACAUAAGCUCAGUCUUUCUAAAUGCACUGGGCUUUAAGGUGGGAACCCCCUUACUUGUAUGUGCAAAUAUUAACAUUGAUUUUAAUCUCAGAUGUUCUCUGGAGAUACAAGCAGCUCAGAGUAGCAAAUUCAUCAUAUAUGUGCUGCCAAGGAUAAGAAACAACAUAAUCUGCAGUUUCAGUUGUACUGCUCAGGUCUUUAAUUCUAGCCAAGAAUGUGUCCCUAGUUGCUUUUAUGUUUUAGGAGAAAACAUUCAAUUAGGUAAAGAAAAAAUACUCCCAAGAACUUCAGAUGCAUUACUUCAAUUAUAUUUAUGGCCUCCUUGGAUGUCAUUAUAUAGAAUCUACAUAAAGUAUCUAAAUUCCAAGCUGCUUUAGGAGCACGAGGCAAAACAUUUCUCCAAAGCCUCACAAUACUUUAUCAGGAAGCCAUGCAACCCAGCCAGGGAAUGGAGACCCCGUGCUUGCUCUUCUGCAAACCUAAACCCACCUAUAAAACUCUGUGUUUGUUUUAAGAAGGAAAAAGAGUUGUUAUCAGCUAGUGUCCACAUUUUUCAGCUUCUGAAAGGCAGUGUAUUCUGUCAGCUGUGCUGAUGAUAAUUAUUUUAAAUUUAGAGUCAGUAACUGCUACUCGCAGUUCAUAGGCAUCAUUGAACCCCUUUCCAGGAGUACAGAGGGAAAUUUUGCAUGCUAAACUGAUCUAAGUUGGCAAUUAGCAUGCCAGAAAAGAACAGUGAGCUAAUUUUCUUUGCAACACGUGGUUUCUCAGAUGAUGAAAUAGGAAAAAAAAAAAAAAAAACAGAUUUAAGGGAAAUUUAGGGUAAGUCAGAUUGAGACAGAAUAUUAACUCCAGAUAAAGUAUCAGGACCUAUUUGUUUUUCCAAAUCCCAGGAGAAGAGUAGUUCUGACAUCUUGUAGGCAUUACAUCAGACAAGCUGUAUUCUGAUAAUCUGUGUGAAUGAGAGCUUCUUCCCACUUCUCUCCAACUAAACACAGCAACAGGGCACCCAGGUCUAGACCAGCAAUAACUAUUACAGUAUCUUUAUAAUGAGACUAUUAGCCACAUUUUGGCAUGUAGCAAAUGAGAAAAAAAAAAAAAGACUCGUGAAGGACACAUAUAUCUAGAUAGUAAGGGCAUCGUGACUCAUUGUAGUAACCUCAAAUUUUUAAGCAAAAAAAAAAAAAAAAAGAAGAACAAAAAACCCCACAGCCUACCACUCAGCGCUCCCCUACUGAAGGUCAGUACAUUCAACAUCUGGAAAGUUUCUGCUAGCUUUGCAGCCCAACAGAGUUUUGUUUUGCACAUCCUCCUACGCAAAGGAUCACAAGUGUAAAUGUUAAAGUUUACCUAAAUCUGUUGUAGGCUUUAUUUUCUCAUAUUUACUGCAAAGAAUACAUUAUCUUGUAAGCCAUAAUUGGUCUCCAGAAGAUAUCAAAACCUCUCUGAUUAAGCGGAGGCUUUUAAAUCAAUCAGAAACUCUUUCACUGUUAUUUAUUUGGAGAAUAAAAAAUGACUUGGAAUGAUCUGCAGGAAAAUUUUGGCAAAUAUUGUGAUAGUUUCCCCUUUUAGAUUUUAGAGCUGUUGACUUUUCCAAGUUUUAUUCUCUGUUUACAGGAAGACAAUUAGAUUCAGCAAGAGAAAAGAACAUGAAAAAUGCCAAAAGAGAUAACUACACUAAAGUGAUCAAAUUUAAGUGGGAGAGGGAACCGUAUAUACCAUAAGAAUCAAAAGGCUGCUCUUUGGCUGUAUCCAUUUGUUGAAGUUUGGAGCUGCUCAUCCUUAAUAAUACCUUAUCCAAAGAAACCACUACAAGUGAGCCCUGCUUUCCUGGGACUGGCUGAACAUCUGCAUGCCGAUGGCAAGUACCAACUGAAUUCCUCGCUUUGCUUCACUUCCAUGUACAGCUUUUGCUUUACCUGGUAAACUGUCUUUAUCUCAACCCCCA